GGGAGAAAGAUGCAAGGAUGUGCCCAGAAAGAAAGGUGGGGAUUCAGAAACAUGCUUAGGGUGUAGGGACAAUCCAUUUCCUUGGUUUGUUUCAGUAUUCAAGAAAUAGUUAUUGAGUGCCCACCUCUUCUAGGCCAGUCUAGGUGCAGGGGAUGUGCAAGGGAACAGAUGGCCAGGGCUUUUACUGUCCUGGAACUCACAGGAGAGACACACAAGAAACAAUACGAAAUUUCAGUUACGGAGAAGUGUUUCUAAAAUGAAGCCGGAAAGAGAAUUCCCUGGUGGUCCAGUGGUUAGGAUUCCAGGCUUUCCACGCCAUGGCCGGGGCUCAAUCCCUGGUCAGAGAACUGAGAUUCCCACAAGCCACAAGGUGUGUCUUAAAAAACAAAUGUGAAGCAGGACGUGGUGACUUCAGAUGAGGAACCUCAGGAAGAACCCACUGCAAAGGCAGCAAGGGUUGUGAGAAGGAAAGGCACCGCCAAACAUUCCGGCCAAGCAGUGACUCAGAGUUCUGAGAAAGCUACCCAUUUUCAAGGAGACCCCAUGGAGGGCAGAGGAAGAAGGAUCACCCAUGCACACUUCCUAAGGCUUCCCUUGGACUGCAGUUUGGACUGGGCGGUGCUGAGGAUGGUGAGAUGGUUCCUCUGGCACUCGAGCCCUGCCCAAGGCUCGGACACACAUGCCCACGAUCGGAAUCACAUCCCAGGGCAAUGGGUGCCCCAACGGAAGCGGCACAGGGUGGACAGAGAGGCUGAGGGUGCACGGGGUCGGCGGGAGCGGCCAGCCAGGGGCGAAGGAGCUGGGGAGAGACACUCGAGAACCCUGGCCGCAGCUUUCUCCUCCCUCAGACCCAACAGUCGGGUUUCCAGGCGGACGCGCUUGGUCCUGGUUUCCCGCCCGUUCCCCGCCCGCCGGCCCCCAGGAGACUGGACCCUCCGCUCCCGCCUGCACCCCUUAAGGAAUCAGAUGUCCCUGCGGG
ensembl:lncRNA